rnacentral:piRNA from 1 species
UUGCAACAGAUGUGUGGUGUGUGUUCCAAC